rnacentral:rRNA from 1 species
AACGAACGCUGGCGGCAUGCCUAACACAUGCAAGUCGAACGAGACCUUCGGGUCUAGUUGCGCACGGGUGCGUAACGCCGGGUAACCUGCCCUUAGGUUCGGUAUAACUCCCCGUGAGGGGUGCUAAUACCGGUUGAUCUCUUCGGGCCAAGGAUUUCUCGCCUUUGGGUGGGGCCGCGUUGGAUUCGCUAGUUGGUAGGGUAAAAGCCUCCCAAGGCGACGAUCCAUAGCUGGUCGGAGAGGAUGAUCAUCCACACUGGGACUGAGACACGGCCCAGACUCCGACGGGGAGCAGCAGAGGGGAAUAUUGGAGAAUGGGGGAAAGCGUGAUACAGCAACGCCGCGUGAGUGAUGAAGGCCGUAGGGUUGUAAAGCUCUUUUACCCGGGAUGAUAAUGACAGUACCGGGAGAAGAAGCACCGGCUAACUACGUG